rnacentral:lncRNA from 1 species
GGGUUGUUUGGUUGCUAGCCACAGUUUGCCACACUUUACUUUAGGUAUGUUUGACCAAGUUGGCAUGUGUUUGGUUGACAACUAAGUUUAGGCAUGAUUCUUUUGGGCUUCACAUGUCAUAGAGUUAAAAAGUGUGGCAAGAUUCCUUUAGGCAUGACAAAAUGUGGCAACCAAUUUGCUAGCCACACUUUUUGUGGCUUGCCACACUUGCCUAAAGUUAGUUGUGGUAAACUAUGGCUAGCAACCAAACAUCCCCUAA